rnacentral:rRNA from 1 species
GAUGAACGCUGGCGGCGUGCCUAAUACAUGCAAGUCGAGCGAACGGACGAGAAGCUUGCUUCUCUGAUGUUAGCGGCGGAUGGGUGAGUAACACGUGGAUAACCUACCUAUAAGACUGGGAUAACUUCGGGAAACCGUAGCUAAUACCGGAUAAUAUUUUGAACCGCAUGGUUCAAAAGUGAAAGACGGUCUUGCUGUCACUUAUAGAUGGAUCCGCACUGCAUUAGCUAGUUGGUAAGGUAACGGCUUACCAAGGCAACGAUGCAUAGCCGACCUGAGAGGGUGAUCGGCCACACUGGAACUGAGACACGGUCCAGACUCCUACGGGAGGCAGCAGUAGGGAAUCUUCCGCAAUGGGCGAAAGCCUGACGGAGCAACGCCGCGUGAGUGAUGAAGGUCUUCGGAUCGUAAAACUCUGUUAUUAGGGAAGAACAUAUGUGUAAGUAACUGUGCACAUCUUGACGGUACCUAAUCAGAAAGCCACGGCUAACUACGUG